UACGUAGGGGGCAAGCGUUGUCCGGAUUUAUUGGGCGUAAAGAGCUCGUAGGUGGUUCGGUAAGUCGGAUGUGAAAUCUCCAGGCUCAACCUGGAGGGGUCAUUCGAUACUGCCGUGACUAGAGGUCGGUAGGGGAGUGUGGAAUUCCUGGUGGAGCGGUGAAAUGCGCAGAUAUCAGGAGGAACACCCGUAGCGAAGGCGGGUCUCUGGGCCGUAACUGACGCUGAGGAGCGAAAGCGUGGGGAGCGAACAGG
rnacentral:rRNA from 1 species